UGGAUCCAGACUUUGAUCCUGGCUCAGGAUGAACGCUGGCGGCGUGCCUAACACAUGCAAGUCGAACGGACUUACAUUGAAGCCUAGCGAUAUGUAAGUUAGUGGCGGACGGGUGAGUAACGCGUGGGUAACCUGCCUUGUACUGGGGGACAACAGUUGGAAACGACUGCUAAUACCGCAUAAGCGCACAGCUUCGCAUGAAGCAGUGUGAAAAACUCCGGUGGUACAAGAUGGACCCGCGUCUGAUUAGCUGGUUGGUGAGGUAACGGCCCACCAAGGCGACGAUCAGUAGCCGGCCUGAGAGGGUGAACGGCCACAUUGGGACUGAGACACGGCCCAAACUCCUACGGGAGGCAGCAGUGGGGAAUAUUGCACAAUGGGGGAAACCCUGAUGCAGCAACGCCGCGUGAGUGAAGAAGUAUUUCGGUAUGUAAAGCUCUAUCAGCAGGAAAGAAAAUGACGGUACCUGACUAAGAAGCCCCGGCUAACUACGUGCCAGCAGCCGCGGUAAUACGUAGGGGGCAAGCGUUAUCCGGAUUUACUGGGUGUAAAGGGAGCGUAGACGGUUUUGCAAGUCUGAAGUGAAAGCCCGGGGCUUAACCCCGGGACUGCUUUGGAAACUGUAGGACUAGAGUGCAGGAGAGGUAAGUGGAAUUCCUAGUGUAGCGGUGAAAUGCGUAGAUAUUAGGAGGAACACCAGUGGCGAAGGCGGCUUACUGGACUGUAACUGACGUUGAGGCUCGAAAGCGUGGGGAGCAAACAGGAUUAGAUACCCUGGUAGUCCACGCCGUAAACGAUGAUUACUAGGUGUUGGUGGGUAUGACCCAUCGGUGCCGCAGCAAACGCAAUAAGUAAUCCACCUGGGGAGUACGUUCGCAAGAAUGCAACUCAAAUGAAUUGACGGA
rnacentral:rRNA from 1 species